rnacentral:lncRNA from 1 species
CUUUUUUGCCAUGUAAGGAAAAAAAUACGAGAUCCUUAUAGUUUGAUCUUUAACCGUGUCUUUCUAAGAGUUGCGGAGUAACUAAGAUCCGAUGAAGGCGACAGAGGCGGCAGCGGUGGGGUCACCGAGCCGUCCGAGCUGCCAGAGCUGUCGAGCCUCAUGCUGGAGAGCUUCGGCUCCAGGAUCUGACGCAACUCGCACUCCACCAGGUCUGCCCACUCGUUCUCGCCGGCUGUAAUUCCAGGUUGCGGCUGUACCCGGGAGCCGACAGCGUCUGAGUCAGCGGACGUGUCGUGGAGACUGGCGUCGGGGCGCCGGCCGCUGGAG